GCCUUGGCCGCGGGAUUCCCUACAAUCUUGCUAGCGCAUGCCCUUUUAUAAAAGCUCCGGCGGUGUAAAAUGAGCGUGCGCCCCAUUAAAUAGUUGGAGAGGUAAUGGCUCACCAAGGCUACGAUGGGUAGGGGUUCUUAGUGGAAGGUCCCCCACACUGGCACUGAGAUACGGGCCAGACUCCUACGGGAGGCAGCAGUAGGGAAUAUUGGUCAAUGGGCGCAAGCCUGAACCAGCCAUGCCGAGUGCAGGAUGAAGGCUCUCUGAGUUGUAAACUGCUUUUGUACAGGAGCAAAAAAGCCCCUGCGGGGGCUCUUGAGAGUACUGUAAGAAUAAGCACCGGCUAAUUCCGUGCCAGCAGCCGCGGUAAUACGGAAGGUGCAAGCGUUAUCCGGUUUUAUUGGGUUUUAAAGGGUGCGUAAGCGGCUUAUUAAAUCAGUUGUAGAAAAUCCUAGUGCUUAACGCUAGAACUGCGAUUGAUACUAUUAGGCUUGAGUUAAGAAGAGGUAGGCAGAAUUU
rnacentral:rRNA from 1 species